ACGGGGCCUGACUGCGCGUGCGCACGGGGCCCGCAGCGGCCCGGCUCUCCAUGGCGGCCUGAGGCCCUCCUCUUGUUGCGCGGGUCUGAACUCCACCAAGCCCUCCUCAAAGGAGCGCUCCGUCCGCAGAGACGCCGCUCCUGGCCGGAGGGUUCCUGACCAGGAAGGUGGACGAGGGCUGUACACCGGCAACCCCAACCUCCGAGGGAACGGGGAACAAAUUUCACGCGAGGUUUCGGAACUGUCGCGAGAAUCGGAACGGGAAACGAGGCGUCCAAAAGGAAAAGCCCGCGGGUUUUAAGCCAGGGAAGAACUGGAACCGGCAGGUGCCGAUGGUGGCACUAGGCAGUCCCUUGGCUGGGGGACGCAUGAAGUGUUGACCUGCAAGCAGAAGUGAACCGAGGGUUGCAGAAGGUUCUGGAAAAGGCGCGAGGGGGCUUGCCUGGCGGAGUUCGGAGGCCCUCGGGGAGGUCCCUGCUGUGGCCGACAGUGGCCCUGGGGUGGCGAUCGUCCCCCCGCCGAGGUAGAGCGGGAGCUGUCCAGGAGAGCUAAAGGACUGUGAGCGUCCAGCGCUGGCAGCCCCUGCCAAUCAGCAGCGUCAGGGGCCCAGGCGCCCCCUCCACCUUGUCGUUCCCGGUGUUUGCUGUUAGUCUUUGCCAUACCUUGCGCCCCUACUAGAAACCACGCCCGGUUCCCCACUGUAUUUUAUGACUCUCUACCCCCGCGACAGGCUGCUGAGUAAGUUCUUGGGAAGCAUUUGUGCAUUAAACGUGAAAGACUCCCCGACUCUGAAAGAUGACUUUUAACUGAAUUUGCUGUCACUGGUGAGAGGCUAGGGAUUAAAUCGACGGAGAACGAGCGCCCUCUGGUGUCUCUAGGAUGCUGUAAGCCAGAUCAAGCUGAAUUGAAAAAGUAAAAGAACAGGUAUAUUUGAGUAAAGCAACUCCUGGGUGAGUCCUCCAAGCCCAGAGAUCGGCCAAAGAAGUCAUGCGUCCCAACUAAAGCAGGGAGCAUAUAUACCCUGUAGGCGAGACAGACUUGUCUUCCACAAGCUGGGUUUGUGCCCAAGCGUGGUCAAAAACUGACUGCUUUAGGCGGGGUCUUGGGCUACUGGCAACUUCCGGGGAGGAGCUGCCGAAGUCUCCAAGAAUUCGGAACUGGGCUUUUUGGUGCCUUUGCUUUGUUGGAUAUUCUCUGAGAGGGUGGCAUUUGGAGAGAGAAGAAUCGGACUUUCCAGAUCAUGCUUGAGUGAACUGGAGGUUCCACCCAAACAGAUCUGUGCAUGUGAAUGCAGUUAUCAACAGAAGCCAGGGAUGUUGGAUCCCUGGAGAUGGAGUUGGAGGUAUGGGCAUGCUGCUGUGAGCUGGGAACCCAGCUCUGGUCCUCUGGAAGAGCCUUAAUACUCAACCACUGAACCGUCUCUGCGGCCCAGCGGUGGAUGUUUAAAAAGACUCCAAAGUGCCAUGCUGUGGAGAUGCAGGGAUGUGUGUGGCCAGAUGGUAGGAAAUGACGAGGUAGGAAGGUGAUGAGGAACUUCCUGUGUGGGUCACAGCUUCUCAGCACUGAGGCUUCAGGGCGGGAGCCUAGAGAGGUCUAGGGGUGUGGCUCAGUGGCACAGUUUACACGAGGCCUUGGAUUUGGAUCUUCAACACUACAGAAAAGUGGGAUCAGCCUUCUCACAGGCUUGGGACAGGAACAGCACCUAGGACCUAGGGAGCUGACAGUUUCCUCAGGGUGAGAAGGAAAUGGAAGAGAGGACUUGUCCAGAGGCACCCUGUUCCGCGGCACAUCAGAGGGUAUUUCUGGGCCCCAAAUCCUAACCUGGGAAGGAGAAGACCAUCGUGGCCAAAGGAUAGCCAGGAGCCACCUGAAAUCAGGAAGAAAAUCGGCGUUGCAUAAAGAUGUGUGCAAGCUGGCUGUGGGCCUGAGACAAGCAGCUUCGCUUCUCUGGGCCACUUCAAGGAUAGGGCUGGACAGUGCUGAAGCCCAGGCCCUAACACUUCAUAGUCUGUCAAAGUGCCCGGGACUCCGGCUUGCAGGCACCAAAGGAUGCAGCAAUGUGCUCCUCACCCUGACUUCCAAGAGCUUCUGGCUUCACAGGAGAGAAGGUUCAGAACUUAUAAACACAGAAAUAAUUAAAAGGGGGCUGGAGAGACGGCUCAGUGGUUAAGAACACUUGUUGCUCUCCCAGAGGACCCAAGUUCAGUUCUCAGCACUCACAUGUGACGCCUCCCAGCCACUUGUAACUCCAGUUCCAGGGGUCCUAAUCCCUCUUCUGACUUCUAUGGACACCCCCGACACGAAGAGAUAUCCAUAUACAUAAAUUAAAAAGUAAAUUGUUUAAACAAAGGUGACUCUAAAAAAGAAACACUAAAUUAUCAUCACACGUGACUCAGAAGAGUGCAGGUGCUGAGUGUUUGGAGGGUGUGCACAGGAAGCAGAUGUCCCCAUUCAGAGAGAGCAAACAAGCCUGUUGCCCAUUCAACGUCCAGUUUCUCAACAACGAACAACGGAGCCCAUGGUAUGCAAAACCAUUGUCCUUUCCACCCACCCAACGCCCAGUCUAGUCUGGAAACGGACACCAAAGCUAUAAUGGCACAAAUAAAGUAUCUGAAAAGCU